GAAAUUUGCAAAAUAUAUUCUGUGCAUAGGGUUUAAUUACACUUUAUAUACCAUAUUUUUAUAUACAUGUUUUACAAGGCAACAUUGGGGAAUUUUGGACAAUGAGAGAGUCCAAUCCAACAAUAUCGCGUAAGUGAAGGGCAAUGUCAAUAGUAAAUCUAUUUAAUCGAGUGGGUGAUUAUGACAAGACUCGAGGAAGAAGCCUUGGCUAACUCUGUGCCAACAACCGAAGUAAGACUGUGGGGGA
rnacentral:rRNA from 1 species